UGGGAGAGCCCGCGUUAUUCGAGAAAAAAGUUUAGUGUCGCCAUUUUCUGUGUCUCGAUGUUGAAAGAAAAUGAAGAGUUUAAUUGAUUUUUUUCGUUUUUUAUUGGAAUGUGUUUGAAGAGUUCUUGGCAGUCAGCCAUCAAAAAUCAUUUCAAGAAUAUCAUGAAAACUGAACGAGUUGCUGCUGGAAAUGGUACUGGAGGUGCAGCAGUGGUAAAACCAGAGAUAAAAAAGAAAAGAAAAUGUGAGGUAGUAGAAACAGAGGAUGACAAAGGUCAAAGUUGAUUUACCAAAAUUAUGCGUUAAUCAGCAACCUAUGGUUUCCAGCGGAGAAAUAUCUUUGAAAAUCCUUUUUUCAUAAUUAAACAUCAUGGAGGGAUAUCCCGCACUCCAGUUGGUGUCAGAGGUAUGCGAUAUUGGCAACAUGGGAGAAGCCGCUGUUGUUAGCCAUAUGAAAGGGAAGAAGCAUCAUGGUUUAGUGUCUACUGGAAACUAUUAAAUUAUAUAAUUAAUUUGAAUUGGAAUAACCAAAUAUUAGACAGGCUAGCUAGGGGCCUAAGUCAGGCCUAGAGAGGUAGCCUAGGCUAAGCUCAAACAUGCUAGGCCUCGCCGGCACCGACGUCCCGCCGACUGACUGCAUUGCUUCUCCUAAGAUUACUCUAAGCUUUAAGCUUAAGCCUACUAGUACUAGAGCUAGAGCUAGACCUAGCCCUAGGUUUACCAAUCCAACAAAACAAAGGCCGCCUUUUAUUUAAUUGUGUUUUUGGAUGUGGAUUCUUAACUGGUAGGCCUAGGUAUUAUGCUUCUUUAUUUAUAUUUUUUGUAUCAUUGUACAUCACAUUAUAAUAAUAUUAUUAAAUAAUAUUAUAUAAAAAAUAAAUAAUAGUUUCCGUCAUGGCAUUUUCUGAAUAGCCAUGACACACGGCGAAGCCCUGGCGAAUUUUUUCAUUUUUUUCUACCUUCAACAUGUAAUGCAAUAUGUAAGCUAUAUAUUAUCUCAUAACUACUUUUGUACAGACUGUUUCUUAUGCAACAACUCAUCCCCAAUGCAUUGAUAAGCAAUAUUUAUUCAAAAUAACAGUUAUUGAUUACUCUAAACUUGAAAUUUUUGUAUAUUGUAUAUAAUAUAUUUAGUCAAAUUUUGAUGUUUUUUCAGUAAAUAGAACAUACUGUAUCUAUUUAGACUGGACAAAUCUGUAUCUCCAACAACAUGCAAUGCAAUAUAAACAAUCUCAUAAUUGCUGUUCAAUUUCAAAUAUGUUCCUUCUCAACUCAUCAGUAACACUUUACUGUAAAUUACAAGUAGUAACAGUUAUUAAUAAAUUUUAAUUUUGUGUCCAUUAUAUAGAUUGUAUUUAGUCAUUUUGAUGUUUUUUACUAAAUAGAACCUAUUUAUACUAGACAAAUCUGCAACAUCCACAGAGCAAUAUAUUCAAUAUUAAUUCAUAGUUACUCUAAUAACUAUUCUACAGUUAAAGUUUCUUUAUUAUAUAGUUGGAUUUGUUUAGACUAGACAAGUCUGUUCUGCAAUUACUCAUCCGCAACGCAGUAUAUAAGCAAUAUUAUUUCAAAAUAUCAGUUAUUAAAGAUUUUUAUAUAAUUUGUUUUUUUUGUUUCACUAAAUAGAACGCUCAUUUAAAGAAUAAAAGAAAAAGUUGCCUUGUAAAAAAUGUUCUGUGUCAUUAUUUUUGUGUGAAAUGGUUUUGGAAAUUCAACAUUUUGGCUCUGGAAAACUCUUGGAAAAGUUUUGGAAUUUUCCAAAGUUCAAAGUGUAUGAACCCUGUUCUAUGUUUUUAACAUUCAGUAUCAUAAUAAAGCAAAGAACUAUAUCUUCCUAGAAUCCAAGAUGUUUGAAAAGAUGAAGGAAGCCAACAAACAUGUCAUUACACUGUUUGUAACUUUCUAGUUGGAAAAUAAGAGUUUAUAACCUCAUUCAUUUUGAAGGGGUAUUUCUCUCGCUAAUCUGCCAUUAUAGGCAUGGUUUAUAUGUGUAAAGAUAAAAGAAUAAUGUAUUUUGUGAAAAAAAAAUAAAGGAAUGAUUAUUUAUAGAA
rnacentral:lncRNA from 1 species